AGUGAACGCUGGCGGUAGGCCUAACACAUGCCAGUCGAACGGCAGCACAGUAAGAGCUUGCUCUUACGGGUGGCGAGUGGCGGACGGGUGAGGAAUACAUCGGAAUCUACUUUUUCGUGGGGGAUAACGUAGGGAAACUUACGCUAAUACCGCAUUCGACCUACGGGUGAAAGCAGGGGAUCUUCGGACCUUGCGCGAUUGAAUGAGCCGAUGUCGGAUUAGCUAGUUGGCGGGGUAAAGGCCCACCAAGGCGACGAUCCGUAGCUGGUCUGAGAGGAUGAUCAGCCACACUGGAACUGAGACACGGUCCAGACUCCUACGGGAGGCAGCAGCGGGGAAUAUUGGACAAUGGGCGCAAGCCUGAUCCAGCCAUACCGCGUGGGUGAAGAAGGCCUUCGGGUUGUAAAGCCCUUUUGUUGGGAAAGAAAAGCAGCAGGUUAAUACCCCGCUGUUCUGACGGUACCCAAAGAAUAAGCACCGGCUAACUUCGUG
rnacentral:rRNA from 1 species